GAUGUCGAGGCGGGCUUUUAAUUGUUCGCCUCAAGACAACUCUAUUGGGGCGGGCUUUGGUGUUGUACGCUUCAACCGUUUCAAGGUUGUGAAGCGAACAUUCUAUUGCUCGCUUCAACAGAGUCUCAGCCCGCGAAUUUUAAAGCCCAAUUAAGUAAUACCCAAAUGCCCAACUCACCUCCAUUAUAAUUAGGGUUUUUUCUUAUUUCCUUGGCCGGCCGUUUUUUCUUCUCUCUCCUUAUUUCCUUAUAUUUUUGUGCUUCAACAGAUCCAUCUCUCAUUAUAUUUUUUCAUAAUCAUCUCACUUCUCAUCUUUUUUUCUUGCGAUUUAUUUCAAAUCACCUUAUUUCUCAAUUACAAUUACAAAUUGCGAUUUAGAUUUACAGAUUGUGAUUUAUUUUUUACAACUCAUACAUUUACAGAUUGCGGUUUAUUUUUUCUUGAAAAAAAUAACCAUGGAUUCUUCAACCAUCUCAUUCCCUGUGGCGUUUUCUCUCCAUUUGUGUUUGCGGUUCGUGUUUGCGGUUCACAAAAGAUAGAGAAACCAAAGCUUCGAACCAUCCUCCCUAUUUUCUCGACAUGGUGAUGCUAACAAGUUAACUCGAUUUUUUGGUGAAAUUUGUUGUUCUGCUUAUGGAUUGAUGGUUGAUCUUCAGUUAAAAAGAUCCAUCUCCAACGUUAGGAUCUAGAUCUAAAUGGGUUUGUCAUGGCUGUGAGAUUUGCAAACAAAUACAUUUUCAAUGGAGUUGUCGAUUUUCUUAGUUUGGAUUUUUCAUAUAUUUGUACUUUGAUUUAUUCAACUUUGUAAGAUAAUAUAGAAACUCAUAUGUACUCCGUAUUUGAUUAAUAAUAAUAAAAAAGUUAAGUAUUUCAAGA